rnacentral:rRNA from 1 species
GACGAACGCUGGCUGCGUGCUUAACACAUGCAAGUCGAACGCUGAAGCUCACAGCUUGCUGUGGGUGGAUGAGUGGCGAACGGGUGAGUAACACGUGAGUAACCUGCCCCCGAUUUCGGGAUAAGCCCGGGAAACUGGGUCUAAUACCGGAUAUGACCACCGGCCGCAUGGUUGGUGGUGGAAAGUUUUUCGAUCGGGGAUGGGCUCGCGGCCUAUCAGCUUGUUGGUGGGGUAAUGGCCUACCAAAGCGACGACGGGUAGCCGGCCUGAGAGGGCGACCGGCCACACUGGGACUGAGACACGGCCCAGACGCCUACGGGAGGCAGCAGUGGGGAAUAUUGCACAAUGGGGGAAACCCUGAUGCAGCGACGCAGCGUGCGGGAUGACGGCCUUCGGGUUGUAAACCGCUUUCAGCAGGGAAGAAGCGUAAGUGACGGUACCUGCAGAAGAAGUACCGGCUAACUACGUGCCAGCAGCCGCCGUAA